AUCUAAUUGACGAGUCCUAAACAGGACGAAACACGCGUCCCAGAU
rfam:Schistosoma mattheei strain Denwood, Zambia genome assembly, scaffold: SMTD_contig0003731